rnacentral:rRNA from 1 species
UACAGAGGGGGCAAGCGUUGUUCGGAAUUACUGGGCGUAAAGGGCGCGUGAGGCGGCCGCCUAAGUCAGACGUGAAAUCCCUACGGGCUCAACCGGGGAACUGCGUCUGGAUACUGGGUGGGCUUGGAAUCCGGGAGAGGAUUGGCGAGAAUUCCGUGGUGUAGGCGGUGAAAUGCGUAGAUAUCUGGAGGAACAUCAGUGGCGAAGGCGGCCACCUGGACCGGUAUUGGAC